UCCUACUCCUAUCAGCUAGCCAAGCUACUUUGUCAGCUGCUGGCCAGCUGAGCCACCUUGCUCUUGCCCAGUCAAGUCUCAGCCAAUUGUAGGCUAUGCUGAGGUGCCACCUAGCCUCGGUGCCAUGCAUGUUGCCACCUCCUGCUUCAGCCGACCACCUUAUAUCAUGGGUUAUAUACAUUAGGCAUAGCCCCUUACUUGGUCACCAAGUCACGUUGAGCCCCCUUUUGCCACCGCCCAGUGGGUUGCUUCACAGAUGGGUUUGCUUUUUCUUCAAGUUGAAGCAAUCCUGGCUGAUGCAAAACUUCCUAGUGCCUCUAUAGACACGCCUAACGGGUUGCUAAGUAGUUUGGAUUCUUCAUGGAUCUUGUUUGCUUGAAUUUUGGCUAUCUUUGAAGUAAUUCUUUUUAAUACAUUUUCCUACAAAAUUCAGAGACAAUAUGGACAAGAGGUGAUGAAAAAUUAUAUUAGUAGAACACAAAAAAUUAUCUAAAAAAUAAGCUAUAAGUUGGGUUUUAAAAAUGAUUAAUCAAGAUAAGUGCCAUAAAAGCGAUGAAAAAUAGUAUAUUUUGGCACUUAUCAACUCCCCCGAACUUCAACUUUGUUUGUCCCCAAACAAAGGUAAAAUGACAACUAACUUGGCUUUAGAAAAAGUCAGCUUGUACAAGAUCAAAACUAUGCAUGAUUUUAAAGUUCUAUGAGAUGUAUUUAUGAUGAUCUGAUUUUGACUAAUAAUGCUUCAAACGAAGAAUGAACACAUCUUUUCAAAUAUUCAUUUAUUACUUUACUUAUAAAAAAUGUUAUCAAACAAAGAGAUGCAUUUUCUCACACGGUUCCAGAAUGGAACCAAAUGGGUAAGUGUUUCACUUUAAAAUAACUUCAUUGGUUUCAAGAAUUCAAUUUUGUUUUUCAUCUCAACAAUUACUUUUAUUGUACAAAUUUUUAAGGAUCACUAAGGUUUUCCUGGGGUUGUAAUGAGGCCUGAAUAUCAAAGAAAAUUAGUUUUUUAAGAUAAUCAAAAUAUACUUUUCAAUUUAAAAGAGAGCAAAAAUGAUUUUCAAGAUAUUCAACAACUUUUUCACCAUACUUCUUUUUCUUCCUUUCCUCAUUCUUUUCAUUGGUUAUUUUAGUGUAACCUUUCUUGAUAUUUCUCAAUCUCUUUUUACUCCUUUUUUUGUUUUGGAUCUUUUCUUUACUUUUUGAGUUGUAAAGAUAUUCAGAAUAUUUUAUUCUGAGCUUUUUGUCACACGGCUAACCACUCCCCCAACUUAAUUUUUUCGAUCUACCUACUUUUGAAAAAUGCUCUCCUUUUACCAAAGAAAACUAUUGGAGAUUUCAUUUUGUUUGUACAUAUUUGGCUCAAGGGUUGUGUUUGGAAAAUUUAAUUCUUUUACAGAAUCACAGGGUUAUCAAAGGAUGUUCCUAAUUUUGGUUGGUCAAUUUUUGUCAAAUGGCUCAUUCUAUUUGAAAGAACUUGCCUUGACCUUUUCCAAUCAAUUUUGUAUGUAAUCAUGCAAAGGAAGAUUCAAACAAAAUCAAUUGUUCAAGCCAACAAGUUUCACACACUAAGCUCACAUGAUUAUGUGUUGGACUUACACUCCCUCACAUGGUUGGUUUAUUUACAACUCUUUAAUUUUCAAACAUGUUCCCGAGUUCAUGAGAAAUGAUUUUCCAAAAAAAAUUGCAUUUUAUCAAAGUUAUGACAUUAUGCAAUUUUCACAAUUUUAUUUUUAUAUUUUCAUCUCAUAUUUCUUACAAAAGCUUCUUGAUUCACAAAGUUAGUCAUUCGGUUUUAAAAAAUUGUUUUAAGCCAUGUUUUUAUUAUUUACUAAAUUUAGUUUCAAAAAUUUCUCUUUUUAAAUAAAAAGAAACAAAGUAAUCUAAACUAAUAAGCAAUUAAAACACACAACUUAAAAAAUUAAUCACGCACUAAUUGUUUUUAAGCAAAUAAACAAGCACUAAAGAUUUAAAAGGCACAAAAAAAAAUAUUCUUUGAAAAUGUUAUACACACUCCCCCCAACAUAAGUGCUUGACUUGUCCUCUUGUCAUUUUGAAACAUUUUAAGGAAGUUUGUGUAACAUUUUGAAAGAAUGGAAAAAAUAAAAAACUAACUAACACAACGUUUUUAGGAUAAUUCAUAAUUUCAUUCUCCUAUGAUUUUACUAUCCUCUCCAAGAUAAUGGUGCCUUUUUUAGCCUACUCUUUUUUGUCUGUUUGUUUUUGGACUUGUUUUCUUGUAAAUUAUUAGUUCUUGCAAUUUAUUUGUCCUUUGGGUUAAUCUAACAAUUUACAUGAAUUUCUCAAUGUCUAACACAUUAUGUUCAUGAAUGAAAUUUGGUUAACAGAAAUUCCAAUCGAACAACAUGCAUUUUUCAUGAAAAUGAUGUUUAGAAAAUUUUCUUCUUAACAUUUUUCAAGCUCAGUUGAUAAACGGAAAUCCAAACAUAAUUUUAUGCAAAUCUAAAAAACAAGAUAUUAAUAGAAAAAGCCACAUAUAACUUCAUUCAGAAUUUCAUGAAUUUACUUUGUUAAAUGGUAAACCAAACAACAACUUGGUAAACCAACUUUUUAGAAGUUGUCGAGCCUAGAAAAUUUAAUUUUUGGCACAAUUUUAAAAAGCGUGUUCUUUGUUUAAAAAUUUAUUUCAUAUAUUUAUAAACCAUUAACUAAAGCAUGUUUAUGGAGAUGGUGGUUAAAGUAUCACAAAAUAAUAUACGAUCAUUAAAAGUUGAUGGUGAAUACUUAAUCUUUAAGGAUUUAAGGUAGCUUCCCUUUUUGGAUUAUUGAAGAUUCGACUUCGUCAUUCUUUUCAAAGUGCAUCCCGUUUAUCCUUGUGAAUUUUAAUCCCUUUUAUGUUGUUAUUUUGAAAAGGUUGAUGAGGGGUACCUUCUAAAUCACCUAAAUAUUUUAUAACAACCAUAAAGGUUUCUUAACUAUUGGAUUUUUAAUCUACCUGUUCCAACUUAAACUUUCUUUUUGGGUUUUUAAUGUUUAGAUGUACCAAACAGAAAAAUAAAAUAAAAGAUGUAAAAAACUGAAAAUUAAAUUUCUAAAACAAUGAAAGAAAAUUGUAUUUGUAAUUACUACUUAUAUAUGAUAUAAGUAUGACAUUCUAUUAUCUAGCAAUUCUCUCGCAACAACGUCAUUUUGUUGAAAGAAAAAUAAUUAUGUUGAUUCAAGAGUUUGGUGUCUCUCAACAAAAAGUUUCCUUUUAUGGUGCCAAUUUGUAGAAGGAGUUGAUGUGUGAUCAUAAGAUUAGUUUAAUUGAUUUUAACUUCCUUUUCGGGUUCCAUUAAUCAUACCAUUUCUUAGGAAAGGUUGGUAUCAGUUAAGAGUGGGGUUAGAGUGAUGUUAGAUAAAUAAAAGAAUAACAAAAGAAUAAAUUUCAGUAAAUAAAUAAAUCAAAAAUAAAUUGUUAGAUAUUUAUGUACACAUCACUCUUGAAUUAAACUAAUCCUUUUACAUAGUUGCAACCCAUGGAUUGGAUUGAACUUAUGCAAUUGGAUUUCUAUUUCAAUAGACAAAAUUUACAAGUAACUCUUUACUAUAUUUAUUCUUAAUUCUCUUUCAAGAUUAAAUUUUAGUAUAGUAUAGGGUUAUGUCGAAGCUCAGAGAAUUGUCUAACAGAAAUGGAAUCAUACUUUGUAUCUUUUAUCAAAAGUAAAAAGUAUCAAAUAAGUUGUUGUUGUGAUUUUAUAAAAUGAUGAAGAUGAAAAAUUAAAAUAACAGGAAAUUAUGGUCAGAAUGAAAAGUUUCUUCACUCUUAAGUAUUAACAUGAUUUUCAUGUACACAAGUUAUUUUGGGAUGAUUCCAUCCACCAUACAUCAUUCCUUAACUCACCCUUCCUCUCGGCUCAGGUGGGAUGAUUUUCAAACCUUGCUUAAUGCAUUAUCACCCAUCAAGUAUCCUUUGAAAGAAGUAAGGUUGUCACCACUUAAUCUGGAUUCCCAGAUGUUGAUAAUCUUGAAAACAAGUUACUUAAAAUGGAUGUUUGGAAAUGGCAAAUAUUCAAGUCUACUACUGUAGAAUUAAAAUAUUUGUUAUUUCAUCCAACAAAAGAAUUUUGGAUCUUUGAAAGCAUAUUUUAGGUGAUCAUUUUAAAAUAAGAAUUAAGUGUCGAUGGAAUGAAAUAAUAGAAUUGAAACACAUUACUUGAAUAACAAAAUGAAAAUUACUAUAAAGAGAAAGAAAUGUUACACCGUAGCCAAAUUUUGGAGCAUUAGCCAUCCAUCCAAAGAUUUGAUGCUUUCGCUUCUAAAUGAUGUUACAGAAUCAUGUUUUUGCACAUUGUUAGCCAACUCCAUUCCCUCUGAAUUUCUAUGAAAUAAAACUAAAAGUAAGCCAAAGAAAGAAAAGAAGUUGAAAUGGAAAGAAAAUAGUAUGUAGAAGUGAUGAGGCAAAU
rnacentral:lncRNA from 1 species